GACGAACGCUGGCGGCGUGCUUAACACAUGCAAGUCGAGCGGAAAGGCCUCUUUCGGGGGGUACUCGAGUGGCGAACGGGUGAGUAACACGUGAGUAACCUGCCCUUGACUUUGGGAUAACUUCAGGAAACUGGGGCUAAUACCGGAUAGGAGCUCCUGCUGCAUGGUGGGGGUUGGAAAGUUUCGGCGGUUGGGGAUGGACUCGCGGCUUAUCAGCUUGUUGGUGGGGUAGUGGCUUACCAAGGCUUUGACGGGUAGCCGGCCUGAGAGGGUGACCGGCCACAUUGGGACUGAGAUACGGCCCAGACUCCUACGGGAGGCAGCGGUGGGGAAUAUUGCACAAUGGGUGGAAGCCUGAUGCAGCAACGCCGUGUGCGGGAUGACGGCCUUCGGGUUGUAAACCGCUUUCGCUCAUGACGAAGCUUUGUGUGACGGUAGUGGGUAAAGAAGCACCGGCUAACUACGUG
rnacentral:rRNA from 1 species